rnacentral:rRNA from 1 species
AACGAUGAUAACUGGGCGUAUGCGAUAUACAGUAUGCUCCUAAGCGAAAGCGUUAAGUUCAUCCAGCUGGGAGUACGCCGGCAACGGUGAAACUCAAAGGAAUUGACGGGGGCCCGCACAAGCGGAGGAACAUGUGGUUUAAUUCGAUGAUACGCGAGGAACCUUACCCGGGAUUGAAAUGUAGAUGACCGCUCCUGAAAGGGAGUUUUCCUUCGGGACAUCUAUGUAGGUGCUGCAUGGCUGUCGUCAG